rnacentral:rRNA from 1 species
UGGGGAAUAUUGCACAAUGGGCGAAAGCCCGAUGCAGCAACGCCGCGUGAGUGAUGAAGGCCUUCGGGUUGUAAAGCUCUGUCUUUUGGGACGAUAAUGACGGUACCAAAGGAGGAAGCCACGGCUAACUACGUGCCAGCAGCCGCGGUAAUACGUAGGUGGCAAGCGUUGUCCGGAUUUACUGGGCGUAAAGGAUGCGUAGGCGGAUUUUUAAGUGAGAUGUGAAAACCCUAAGCUUAACUUGGGGACUGCAUUCCAUACUGGAAAUCUAGAGUGCGGGAGAGGAGAAUGGAAUUCCUAGUGUAGCGGUGAAAUGCGUAGAGAUUAGGAAGAACACCAGUGGCGAAGGCGAUUCUCUGGACCGUAACUGACGCUGAGGCAUGAAAGCGUGGGUAGCAAACAGGAUUAGAUACCCUGGUAGUCCACGCCGUAAACGAUGAGUACUAGGUGUAGGAGGUAUCGACCCCUUUUUGUGCCGCAGUUAACACAAUAAGUACUCCGCCU